AGCCCACUAGCUAGCUCUACAACCUAAAUACAACAACCCAAUUUAAAUAAACCCUAAUGGCCUACCAACCUUACUAACCAAACCAUUUUUCCACCCUAGUAUGGGCGACAGAAAAGGACAUAAGAAGCAACAGCACCUAGUACCGCAAGGGAACGCUGAAAGAGAAAUGAAACAAAUCAGUAAAGCGCAAAAAAGCAGAGAUUAACACUCGUACCUUUUGCAUCAUGAUUUAGCAAGAAAAGAUCAAGCGAAAAGAAUUUUAGUUUGACUCCCCGAAGCCAAGUGAGCUACUCCAAGACAGCCUUAAAGGGCGCACCCGUCUCUGUGGCAAAAGAGUGGGACGAGCUUUGAGUAGAGGUGACAGACCUACCGAACUUGGCUAUAGCUGGUUGUCCAAGAAAUGAACAGGAGUUCAGCCUAUAGCCUUCUCCCACCAUUCACCGGUUACCCCGAAAGUCUCCGAGAAGCCUACAGAGUUAGUCAAAGGGGGUACAGCUCCUUUGAAAUAGACACAACUUUAACAGAAGGGUUAAGAUCAUAACAACUGCUAGGGAACGUGUUCUAGUUGGCCUAAGAGCAGCCACCCACACAGAAAGCGUUAAAGCUCAAACACAUCCCUCCCCCUUUUAUCCGGACAUUUUAUUCUUAUCCCCCUACCCCUUACUGGACCUCUCCAUACCCCUAUGGAAGAGAUAAUGCUAAUAUGAGUAAUAAGAGACCAAGAAUCUCUCCCUGCACAAGUGUAUAUCGGAACGAACCCCCACCGACAAUUAACGGCCCCAACAAGAGGGUAUUGAAACAUUUUGGCUAAGCCACUAGUAAAGCAUCCACAUCUACACCGUUAACCUUACACUAGGGUGCACACAAGGAAAGACUAAAGGAAAGAGAAGGAACUCGGCA
rnacentral:rRNA from 1 species